rnacentral:rRNA from 1 species
AUUGAACGCUGGCGGCAGGCCUAACACAUGCAAGUCGAGCGGAUGAAGGGAGCUUGCUCCUGGAUUCAGCGGCGGACGGGUGAGUAAUGCCUAGGAAUCUGCCUGGUAGUGGGGGAUAACGUCCGGAAACGGGCGCUAAUACCGCAUACGUCCUGAGGGAGAAAGUGGGGGAUCUUCGGACCUCACGCUAUCAGAUGAGCCUAGGUCGGAUUAGCUAGUUGGUGGGGUAAAGGCCUACCAAGGCGACGAUCCGUAACUGGUCUGAGAGGAUGAUCAGUCACACUGGAAAUGAGACACGGUCCAGACUCCUACGGGAGGCAGCAGUGGGGAAUAUUGGACAAUGGGCGAAAGCCAGAUCCAGCCAUGACGCGUGUGUGAAGAAGGUCUUCGGAUUGUAAAGCACUUUAAGUUGGGAGGAAGGGCAGUAAGUUAAUACCUUGCUGUUUUGACGUUACCAACAGAAUAAGCACCGGCUAACUUCGUG